AACGAACGCUGGCGGCAUGCCUAACACAUGCAAGUCGAACGAGACCUUCGGGUCUAGUGGCGCACGGGUGCGUAACGCGUGGGAACCUGCCCUUAGGUUCGGAAUAACUCCCCGAAAGGGGUGCUAAUACCGGAUAAUGUCUUCGGACCAAAGAUUUAUCGCCUUUGGAUGGGCCCGCGUUGGAUUAGCUAGUUGGUAGGGUAAAAGCCUACCAAGGCGACGAUCCAUAGCUGGUCUGAGAGGAUGAUCAGCCACACUGGAACUGAGACACGGCCCAGACUCCUACGGGAGGCAGCAGUGGGGAAUAUUGGACAAUGGGCGAAAGCCUGAUCCAGCAAUGCCGCGUGAGUGAUGAAGGCCUUAGGGUUGUAAAGCUCUUUUAACCGGGAUGAUAAUGACAGUACCGGGAGAAUAAGCUCCGGCUAACUCCGUG
rnacentral:rRNA from 1 species